rnacentral:rRNA from 1 species
CGUACACUCCUACGGGAGGCAGCAGUGGGGAAUAUUGGACAAUGGGCGCAAGCCUGAUCCAGCCAUGCCGCGUGAGUGAUGAAGGCCCUAGGGUUGUAAAGCUCUUUCACCGGUGAAGAUAAUGACGGUAACCGGAGAAGAAGCCCCGGCUAACUUCGUGCCAGCAGCCGCGGUAAUACGAAGGGGGCUAGCGUUGUUCGGAUUUACUGGGCGUAAAGCGCACGUAGGCGGACUAUUAAGUCAGGGGUGAAAUCCCGGGGCUCAACCCCGGAACUGCCUUUGAUUCUGGUAGUCUUGAGUUCGAGUGAGGUGAGUGGAAUUCCGAGUGUAGAGGUGAAAUUCGUAGAUAUUCGGAGGAACACCAGUGGCGAAGGCGGCUCACUGGCUCUAUACUGACGCUGAGGUGCGAAAGCGUGGGGAGCAAACAGGAUUAGAAACCCCAGUAGUCCCAUGAU